rnacentral:rRNA from 1 species
UACGAAGGGGGCGAGCGUUGUUCGGAAUUACUGGGCGUAAAGGGCGCGUAGGCGGCCGAUCAAGUCAGAUGUGAAAGUCCUGGGCUUAACCUGGGGACUGCAUUUGAUACUGAUUGGCUUGAAUUCGGGAGAGGAUAGCGGAAUUCCCAGUGUAGAGGUGAAAUUCGUAGAUAUUCGGAAGAACACCAGUGGCGAAGGCGGCUCACUGGACCGGUAUUGACGCUGAGGAGCGAAAGCGUGGGGAGCAAACAGG